rnacentral:rRNA from 1 species
UACGGAGGGGGCUAGCGUUGUCCGGAAUUACUGGGCGUAAAGCGCGCGUAGGCGGCUUUGUAAGUUAGAGGUGAAAGCCCGGAGCUCAACUCCGGAACUGCCUUUAAGACUGCAUCGCUAGAACGUCGGAGAGGUAAGUGGAAUUCCGAGUGUAGAGGUGAAAUUCGUAGAUAUUCGGAAGAACACCAGUGGCGAAGGCGACUUACUGGACGACUGUUGACGCUGAGGUGCGAAAGCGUGGGGAGCAAACAGG